UGUAGGUGGGGCUGGAUCAUACGCUGGGCAUCGCUGGAUGCCCACUCAGCACAUCUGCUCUCACCAGAGACAUCAGUGAUGGCAGAAGGUGGUUGAAUCUAAGGGGCAUGUGUGCUGGGAACAACUGCUCUUGGUGAAAAACAUCAGAAGACAGCAGGGGGAACUUAAUAGCUUUUUAAAAUGCUGAUUCACCUCCCCAGCUCCAAAUAUAGCCGAAGAUGUCACUGAAGACGUGUGAAAAACCUUCCGUGCUGGGUUUCCACGAGCCGCCUAUCCCUCCGGCGCCACACUGCUGAGGCACUAAUGUCCGAUAUCGGGAACUGAACCUACCCCCACCCCGACCGCCUGUUGGCACCCCCCACGGAGUCCCACAAAAGCCUGUCAACAGACUCCUGGAGAAAGGGAAGGACUGGUGGAAAUGUACUGGCUCCUAUGGACAAAAAGAGGAAGUUGAUGGCCUCCGGUAUGAUUGGCUUUGGGAAAGUGGGCGGGGACACGGGGGAAGUGUGCCGAUUGGACGAAGAUUUCUGGUGUGCUCUCUGAUGGUGAAGAUUUCACUUCCAGCUCCAAGUACGUUUUCAGGCUUCCACGCAUCAUCUUCCUUUAUCACCAGGGUGAAGAUUUGUGUGGACGGAUCUGGACACGCAGAAACAUCAGGAGCGUUGGCAAAGCUGUCCUGCUCUCUGAAAGCCCAGAGACACGCGCAAGAAAGUUCAUUAAAUGUCCCUAGGUUAUUUUCUGAGGGACGUUGAGGUUGGAAUAGAAAGGCAGAGGAAAGGAAAGCGGGAUAAAGAAAGAAAGAACAGAAGCAAGAGAGUGAGAGAGGACGAGGAGAUCCAGCCCUAACAACAUGCGGGUGAAUGUGAUGAGGGCAUUUGCAACCCCAUGCUCUGUGGCUGUAGUUUGGAUUCCUGGAAGCUAGAGAGGCAGAACGGAAUGAAAACACAGGGUUCAGUGUCAGGUUCAAAGCACACCUAUGUGCACAGGUGAAGAUUAACUCGCCCAGCAGGCGAGGGAGGAAGGAGGGGCCAUGCACUGCAGACUGCAUAAUGGAGGCCCCUGCUCUCAUGCAGAGCUGAAUAGCUUUAUUUCCCCGACGAGCCCAUAAAUUGUUCUCACAGGGUUUGUGCAAACGGAGCUGUGUGCUGGCCCUCGCACGGCCUUCGUGAAGAGAUGUGGUCGGCCUGGCAGGCUGGGGUUCCUUCCUGGACCCCGCACGGCACUCGUAUGACUCACUGAAGCCACUUCCAAACUGCUUAAUCCACCGGUGCCGCUGAAGCUUGUAGCAAUUACGGCCACGCCGCCGGACUCGUAUUAACGACAGAGCGAGGUCACGGGCACCUUGAGUGAACUGACAGCUGGGAUGCGUUCAUUCGCUGCUUUCGUUUACAAUGGAUUUAGGUCAGCUUGCUUGUAAAUGCUUGUUUAGAGUUGCUUUGUGUGAGAACUUGUGUUUUCCUGCUUUGGGUUCUUACUCAUCACCCAAUAUAGUAAUUUCCAGACAGCCAAAGGCGUCCUUUCCUUCCAGAACUCUGAACCAGCAGGAAGCAUGCAGAGUGCAGGAGGCAUGCGUCAGAUGGUCUUCCGGCGGUGAUGUUAGCUCACCCCAGCUCACCCCGCUACCCCACCUCACAGUGCUACCUGGAGGAAUUAGAUGUUACUACAUGGUCCGUCAUUGGCUGUUGUAUCCACAAGCAAAAUCUGUCACUGGCUGAACCUUUUUGAUACAGUCGCAGGUCAGUUCUGCCAUUGGUUGCCACUCUGACUGAGAGACCAGAUGGGGUCUGUCAUUGGCCAACACCAGUUCAUGCCACAGUGAUGUGCUGGAUAUUUAUGCUAAGCUAAAGGAUGUUUAUAGAGCUGGGACCUGGAGUCCAUUAGCCUGAUCCGCCAUGGCUGGGGGCGGAUCACCCCCCUACCAACCCUGUAUCCAGCUAACCCACUCAGCUCUCCACGGUCUGUUGCUUUUCUGAAUCUGGCCUAUUUAUUGGGUCAGUUUUCUGCCCUCAGGACAUCCUGUUUAAUUCGUUGACUCCUCCUUAACAUUUUCUUGUGGCAGGUGUUUUCCAAGAAAAUAAAAGCACAAUGAUGACUUGCUGUGAAGAAACCCAGUAGCUUACCAAAGACACAUAAUCAACUAUCUGUUAUUUUUAGCAGCAAAUGAGGUUUCCACAUCACGUAAGACCAGGACAAGGGAAUGAUCCGACAGACUAAAUCUGCCUGGUCACUUGACAGUGUCUGUCCCACUGAGCAUCAGCCAGACAUAGAGCCUUCUCUGUGUCUCCUCAGUUUUAAUGGAAGCACUGGAUAUCCCUCCUCUCCAGUUUUCUUCUGAACUGUAUCCCUGUACAAUGAAGACGUGUUUAAAAAAAUAAAGAAAAAACAGUUUGGCUACUAUCGGGAUCUCCAGUGAACUAAAUGGUAAAUAAAGAGACUUGUGAUUUUUGGACUAUGGGUCCAACUUGGGAGGUCUACACACUCCAAGCUUAUGGCGGCAUGAACAGUAUCCCACAAGCUGCCGUCCAUUAUUUAUACGACAAGUGCAUGGACUGAAGUGCCGGGCAAGGGUAGAUGCCAUCGCCAAGGAGACAAUUAAACAAUGCUCUUUCUCCCAGAAUGCCCUGCGGUGGGCCGGCAGUGCGUGCUAGCAGACUGCCUGUACUGAUCCUGGGCUGAAAUUGCUGAAUGCUGGUUCGCCGGUUUAACGUAUUUAGACGGACUUCUAAAUUAUUUCAAGUCCUGUCACGAUAGACUACGACAAAUAGUUUUGAAGAAGUGUGUGUUUUUCUUUACGGUAAACUACAUAAGUGACAGUUAUUUUAAAAUCUAAUUUCUAAAUUUUACAUUGGUUAUUCAAUGAAAAACAAUUACCGGUUACUCCAAAUAUUUUGAAGGGGCAAUAACUACUGCUUAAUGCAUGGUGAUUAUCAUGAUUUAUUAGUUACAAUGUUAAUACAAAUGUAAUACGUAUGUUAAAUAAAGCUUAAUUAGUGGAUUGUCUUUAUGACACAAAAUCCUCGCUUUGUAGCUAUCUUUGUUUCUUUCUGAAUUACUUAUUUUAUAAUGUAGUCAAAAUAUCAGUUUUACCUCGAGCAAACCUAAAUCGUUAUAUAAACAUUACCUAGAGAAAGGGACAAGGUGUAAAUCCAAUGGCAUCUUCCUCUCCAUUCUUUGAAGAAUAUAAUGUGGGAUUAAUUUAAAGAUUUUUCCACCAGAUCAUCGGUUCACGUGCCAAAAAGGAUAACGGAUGGUAAUUUUCCCCAUACUAUUUAAUUAAACGCGUGGAUGUUAUUAUACAAAAAUGUAUAAAUAAAAAACCACAAGUACUUAUGUGCACUGACACCUACUUAUUAUUCUUAUAUAAAACAGCAGGAAACAGUAGAGUGAUGUUUUCGGCAUUUCUGGGCAGGAUCCUAAUACUUUCUCAAGCUGAAACUUUUAAAAGUGUAUUUCGAUUUCUCAGCUUCAAAUUGGUUACCAGUCUGGAUGUCGACAAUUCUAAUGUCAACCUAGAUCGACAUUAAAAGCACAAAUACACUUAUAGGUGUACCAGGCUACAACUUGUUUUCCACAAGGCAGUUUAAUAAACACAGCUAGCAUAUAUAUAUUAAACUUCGUCACAAUAAGGAACGCAGGCUAGCCUGAAAAUCAAUAUCUGACAGCAAAAUCGAUUAUCUUAUAUUAAUAUGCAACGUAUUGAAAAGGGCGGAGAUAUAAAAAGCACUAUCAGAAGAUCAUCGCCUAUAUUUUUGUUAUACAAAGAGUCGAUCUAGGUUGACUUCGGUAGCCUUGUUUUCUCCAGUCGAUCUGUCAGUUUCUCAAACGCAGUAAUAUUGCCCAGAAACAGUUGCAGAGACCGUAGGGAAACCCGCCAAAAGAAAUGAAUCUUCUAUUUAUCUGGGCAUCAGGUCUGAUUAUAACAAAAGAAAUGAAAGCAAACCUUACUGAAUUCUGGUAGAAAAGAAUUUCUUAAUAUGUGACAUGGAAAAUAUAUCAUCCAGACAAGCAGCCUAACAUAUACAUUGAGAAUAACACUUUAGUAAUAUAUGUUCUUAUGUUGGGAAUAUUUUGAAUGUAGCUUACAUUUAUUUAUCAGGUCAAGUUGCUGUUGUCAUGUGAUUAAAUUGAGAUAACAUGAUAUUUCAUUUAUACAAUUAUACAAUCCAAGAAAAAAACUGAAUCAAGCAUCAUUUAAAAACUGCAUAAAAACGAGUCUGUUUGGAUCUUAUAUUACUUGUAUUAUGGUUAAAUAACUCUGAGUUGUAUUUUUUUUUUCAUAAACGCAUCA